rnacentral:rRNA from 1 species
GAUGAACGCUGGCGGCGUGCCUAACACAUGCAAGUCGAGCGAUUUUCUUCGGAGAAGAGGGGCGGACGGGUGAGUAACGCGUGGGCAACCUGCCCUGUACACACGGAUAACAUACCGAAAGGUAUGCUAUUACGAAAUAAUAUGCUUUUACCGCAUGGUAGAAGUAUCAAAGCUCCGGCGGUACAGGAUGGACCCGCGUCUGAUUAGCUAGUUGGUAAGGUAACGGCUUACCAAGGCGACGAUCAGUAGCCGACCUGAGAGGGUGAUCGGCCACAUUGGAACUGAAACACGGUCCAUACUCCUACGGGAGGCAGCAGUGGGGAAUAUUGGAAAAGGGGCGAAAGCUGGAUGCAGAAACGCGGGGUGAGCGAUGAGGGCCUUGGGGUCGAAAAUCUCUGUCCGAAAGGAAGAGAAUGACGGUACUUGAGGAAGAAGCCCCGGCUAACUACGUGCCAGCAGCCGCCGUAA